rnacentral:rRNA from 1 species
GAUGAACGCUGGCGGCGUGCCUAAUACAUGCAAGUCGAGCGAACAGAUGAGGAGCUUGCUCCUCUGACGUUAGCGGCGGACGGGUGAGUAACACGUGGAUAACCUACCUAUAAGACUGGGAUAACUUCGGGAAACCGGAGCUAAUACCGGAUAAUAUAUUGAACCGCAUGGUUCAAUAGUGAAAGACGGUUUUGCUGUCACUUAUAGAUGGAUCCGCGCCGCAUUAGCUAGUUGGUAAGGUAACGGCUUACCAAGGCAACGAUGCGUAGCCGACCUGAGAGAGUGAUCGGCCACACUGGAACUGAGACACGAUCCAGACUCCUACGGGAGGCAGCAGUAGGGAAUCGUCCGCAAUGGGCGAAAGCCUGACAGAGCAACGCCGCGUGAGUGAUGAAGGUCUUCGGAUCGUAAAACUCUGUUAUUAGGGAAGAACAAAUGUGUAAGUAACUAUGCACGUCUUGACGGUACCUAAUCAGAAAGCCACGGCUAACUACGUG